rnacentral:rRNA from 1 species
UUUCGAAUCAUUCACAAUGGGGGCAACCCUGAUGGUGCGACGCCGCGUGGGGGAUGAAGGUCUUCGGAUUGUAAACCCCUGUCACCUGGGACUAAACCUCGGCGAAGAGCCGAGCUGAAUUAACCAGGAGAGGAAGCAGUGGCAAACUCUGUGCCAGCAGCCGCGGUAAUACAGAGACUGCAAGCGUUACUCGGAUUCACUGGGCGUAAAGGGAGCGCAGGUGGGCAGGUGUGUCGGGCGUGAAAUCCCGGGGCUUAACUCCGGAACUGCACUCGAAACUACCUGUCUGGAGGAUUGGAGAGGCUGAUGGAAUUCCAGGUGUAGCGGUGAAAUGCGUAGAUAUCUGGAGGAACACCGACGGCGAAGGCAGUCAGCUGGACAAAUCCUGACACUCAGGCUCGAAAGUAUGGGGAGCAAAAGGGAUUAGAUACCCCCGUAGUCC